rnacentral:rRNA from 1 species
UACGGGGGGGGCAAGCGUUGUUCGGAAUUACUGGGCGUAAAGGGCUCGUAGGUGGCCAACUAAGUCAGACGUGAAAUCCCUCAGCUUAACUGGGGAACUGCGUCUGAUACUGGAUGGCUUGAGUUUGGGAGAGGGAUGCGGAAUUCCAGGUGUAGCGGUGAAAUGCGUAGAUAUCUGGAGGAAUACCGGUGGCGAAGGCGGCAUCCUGGACCGGCAUUGACGCUGAGGAGCGAAAGCGUGGGGAGCAAACAGG